CAUGAGGAUAAUCAAUUGACCACGUCCAUCUCCACUGAAUAUAAAAAACAAUUUCCAUAUCUAUAGGAACCUUCUAAUUCAUUCAAUUUCCAAAUUAAAGCUACGAACAAGCAAAAAUACACUCCUACUGUCUUUACACUCAAUCUCCCAAGAUUACUCACAUAGGGGCUCGGGACUUCAUGUACCUAGUGCAUAAACUCACAAGUCUACCGCUAUCUUUGGAUAAUGAAAUGGUUCAAGCUGAUGAAUAUAAAAAGAAAGAGCAUAUUACAGAAAGGAUUGUGAGAAAACAUGAUAGACAUGAUAAUGAGGAUGAUCAGUUAUCUUCAAUUGAAAUAGAUGAGAAAUCAUUGUUAAUUUCUCUCAUUAAGAUCUAAGCCUGUUAAGACUUAGAUCUUGUCAAAGAGUAUUUCAAUAUUAGAUUGUAUGUUAGAUUGUGUCUGAUGGUAUAAUUAAAGAUUGUGGGUAAAGGCCAUGAUCUUAGGGAUACACUUUUGAAUUAUCUCUCUAGCUUUGUGCAUAUAUUCUAGGUGUAAUCUAUCUUUUGAAGUAAGAAGUAAAAUACACUUACAUAGUCACAUGGUAUCAUAGCCUCUACUUUUUUUGAUUGCUUUUUCCAGCGUCCACUUCUUCGGCGGAUUUUUUCGGCCAUCUCUCACUUUCAUUUCAGAUACGCAAGGUUAAACCAUACCGUUUAUUGCGGUCUAACCUAUCACAUUAUCUAAAAUCUUCGACGAAGUUUUCAGCAAGAUCGUAUUACCAUGUGACCCGACUCCAUUAGUAGUCUCCUUUCCGGGCGAGAACUUAUGAUUUUGGUGAGAGGAAAAGAAAAUUAUUUGUUGAAUCUGUAUUUGGUGGGUCACUUGAAAGGGGAUUUUUCGUUUGAAGCAGAAGAGUAAAACUUUGGUUUUGAUAAGCUUCCUCCAAAGUAAAUCUUUCUUUAUUACAAGUCAUAUUUUAUUACUUUAUCUUCACAUAUUGAGGCCAUUCUUACAAGUUUUCUUUUCCAAUAG
rnacentral:lncRNA from 1 species